rnacentral:rRNA from 1 species
GAUGAACGCUAGCGGCAGGCUUAACACAUGCAAGUCGAGGGGCAACAUGACCAGCGAUGGUUGAUGGCGACCGGCGUACGGGUGCGUAACACGUGAGUAACAUACCCAUAACAGUGGGAUAAUCCGGGGAAACCCGGUCUAAUACUGCAUAUGAUGUAAUAGGGGCAUCUUUUUUACAUUAAAAUUUUGGUGGUUAUGGAUUGGCUCGCGUAACAUUAGUUAGAUGGCAGGGUAAUGGCCUACCAUGACAAUGAUGUUUAGGGGUUCUGAGAGGAAGGUCCCCCACACUGGAACUGAGACACGGUCCAGACUCCUACGGGAGGCAGCAGUGAGGAAUAUUGGACAAUGGUCGGAAGACUGAUCCAGCCAUGCCGCGUGCAGGAAGAAGGUUCUAUGGAUUGUAAACUGCUUUUAUAAGGGAGCAAUAAUGGCUAUGCGUAGUCAGAUGAGAGUACCUUAUGAAUAAGCACCGGCUAACUCCGUGCCAGCAGCCGCGGUAAUACGGAGGGUGCGAGCGUUAUCCGGAUUUAUUGGGUUUAAAGGGUGCGUAGGCUGGCAAGUAAGUCAGCGGUGAAAUGCUAUGGCUUAACCAUAGCUGUGCCGUUGAUACUGUUUGUCUUGGAUACGAUUGGAGUGAGAGGAAUGUGUAGUGUAGCGGUGAAAUGCAUAGAUAUUACACAGAACACCGAUAGCGAAGGCAUCUCACUAAGUCGGUAUUGACGCUGAUGCACGAAAGCGUGGGGAUCAAACAGGAUUAGAUACCCUGGGUAGUCCACGCAGUAAACGAUGAUAACUAGUUGUUGGAGAUAUAAUUUCAGUGACCAAGCGAAAGCGAUAAGUAUCCACCUGGGGAGUACGACCGCAAGGUUGAAACUCAAAGGAAUUGACGGGGGCCCGCACAAGCGGAGGAACAUGUGGUUUAAUUCGAUGAUACGCGAGGAACCUUACCCGGGCUCGAACGGCAGAGUAAUAUAUAAGAGAUUAUAUAGCCGCAAGGACUUUGUCGAGGUGCUGCAUGGUUGUCGUCAGCUCGUGCCGUGAGGUGUCGGCUUAAGUGCCAUAACGAGCGCAACCCUUGUCGUUAGUUACCAUCAGGUAAAGCUGGGGACUCUAGCGAGACUGCCGCCGUAAGGUGCGAGGAGGGGGGGGAUGACGUCAAAUCAGCACGGCCCUUACGUCCGGGGCGACACACGUGUUACAAUGGUAGGUACAGAGGGGCGCUAGUCAGUGAUGGCGUGCGAAUCUCGAAAUCCUAUCUCAGUUCGGAUUGGAGUCUGCAACUCGACUCCAUGAAGUUGGAUUCGCUAGUAAUCGCGCAUCAGCCAUGGCGCGGUGAAUACGUUCCCGGGCCUUGUACACACCGCCCGUCAAGCCAUGGAAGCCGGGGGCGCCUGAAGUUCGUAACCGCAAGGAGCGACCUAAGGCAAAACCGGUAACUGGGGCU